CUUCCAUGCGAGCUCAGUGUAUUGAAUGAGGUGUAUUUCCUCAAUUGCCUCGGUCACAGAUUGCCAUGUGUUAGUGGUCCGGGGAUCUGGACGGGAGUGGUCGCUUGUCACACAACGUUACUUAGGAGCGCUGGGCAGACACUGUGUGGCACCCGGAAAGCAAUGUGGGAUUAAAGGCCUUGCCCAAGGGCCCAACAGCUGUGCCGAUCUUAUCGUGGCUUGAACCACCAAUCUUCUGGGUCCCAGUCGUAAUAGCAGUGUGGGAAAUCGUCUUCAAGCCAGGGCUACGAGGAACAGCUGGCUUCUUGGUGAUCGGGGCUAUCCCCUAAAAACGAGGCUUCUCACACCACCAAACAAUCCCCGGACAAUGCAAGAGAUGUGCUAUAACACCCUGCAUGCAAGGACUGCUUCGGUGAGGGCCCUCCGACAGGUCUGGCUGCUGGUGGGCGUGGCGGAGCUACAGUCUGCAGCGCAUUGGACCCUAAUCGCUUCAGCCCCAGCCAGG